rnacentral:rRNA from 1 species
UGGGGAAUAUUGGACAAUGGGGGAAACCCUGAUCCAGCGAUGCCGCGUGAAUGAAGAAGGCCUUAGGGUUGUAAAGUUCUUUCACCUGUGACGAUGAUGACGGCAACAGGAGAAGAAGCCCCGGCUAACUCCGUGCCAGCAGCCGCGGUAAGACGGAGGGGGCUGGCGUUGUUCGGGAUGACUGGGCGUAAAGGGCGCGUAGGCGGCUUAUCAAGUCAGGUGUGAAAGCCUUGGGCUUAACCCAAGAAUUGCGCUUGAUACUGAUAAGCUAGAGGAUGAUAGGGGAAAGCGGAAUUCCUAGUGUAGGGGUGAAAUUCGUAGAUAUUAGGAGGAACACCAGAGGCGAAUGCGGCUUUCUGAGUCAUAACUGACGCUCAUGCACGAGAGCGUGGGGAGCAAACA